CCGACCUUAGCUCAGUUGGUAGAGCGGAGGACUGUAGUGUAGGCAGAUAAAUCCUUAGGUCGCUGGUUCGAAUCCGGCAGGUCGGA
rnacentral:tRNA from 2 species